AUAAUGGAAAUAUUUUGAAUUAAAACAAUAAUUUACAUAUGUAUUUCUUUGCAGAGCCUCCGAGUUAUUCGAAAUUCGUAUUAAAGAACUAGAGUUUUAGAAGAAGUAAAGUUUUGCAUAUUUACAAGUCCGGAUCAUCUGUGUGUCCGUCCACAUUCGCUGGUGCAGGGAUUCUCCCUAUUGCAGCCUUUGCAUAUUUAUAAGUCCGGAUCAUUUGUCUGUCCGUCUACAUUCGCUGGUGCAGCGAUUUUUAUAUACUUCCAGGACUCUAAUCUGAUCGCAGAUAC